GAGCGGAGGGGUGCCGGUGUCCGGACUCCGGAGAGAAUGGCGGCCACUCUUCUCCCGACCUUAUCGCCGCCCGUUUCGCGCGCCGCCGCCGCUUUCCUCCUCCGACGAGCCCCACUGAAGCCCUCCCAUUAUGUGCACCCACCUUCUACUCUCCGCCGCUUACUCAUCUCCUCCUAUCCAGCAAUCCCUGCCAUGUGCCCCCUCUCCACCAUGUCGUCCACCACUGCCGCUCGCGCCGUCCCGGUCCGCCGUGACCUCCUCAUGCUCGGCAUCGAGACCAGCUGCGACGACACUGCGGCUGCUGUGGUGAGAGGUGAUGGCGAGAUCCUUAGUCAAGUAGUAUCUUCCCAAGCGGAUUUGCUCGCGAGGUAUGGUGGUGUUGCCCCUAAGAUGGCCGAGGAAGCACACGCCCUUGUGAUUGACCAGGUUGUUCAAAAGGCUCUUGACGAUGCAAAAUUGUCAGAAAGUGAUCUUUCUGCAGUCGCUGUGACCAUUGGACCAGGACUUAGUCUAUGCCUUAGAGUUGGUGUUCAUAAAGCUAGACAGGUAGCAAAAGCAUUUGGCUUGCCUAUUGUUGGAGUUCAUCAUAUGGAAGCACACGCAUUAGUUUCCAGGCUAGCGAAUAAGGACCUUGAUUUCCCAUUUCUGGCUCUUCUAAUUUCCGGAGGACACAACCUUCUUGUUCUCGCUCAUGGUCUUGGGCAUUACAUUCAACUGGGGACUACUAUAGAUGAUGCGAUUGGUGAGGCAUAUGACAAAUCAGCAAGAUGGUUGGGCCUUGAUAUGCGGAAAGGUGGUGGUCCUGCUCUUGAAGAGCUUGCUCUAGAAGGUGAUCCAAAUGCUGUUAAGUUCAGAGUUCCAAUGCGACAGCAUAAAGAUUGCAAUUUUUCUUAUGCUGGACUGAAGACUCAAGUUCGAUUGGCAAUUGAAUCUAAGAACUUAUGUACAGAGGAUAUUCCCGUUUCGGCUGCAUCGGAGGAGGACAGACAAUCAAGGGCGAACAUUGCUGCCUCUUUUCAGCGAGUUGCUGUGUUACAUUUGGAAGAAAGGUGUGAGCGAGCAGUUGAAUGGGCAUUGAAUAUGGAACCUUCCAUCAAAUACUUUGUAACUCAGAUAUCUUGACGAUGGUUAAUUUCAAAUCGGUUUACUCAUCCAGUGUUGACUUAUCCAAUUAUAAAAAGGUUGUUUCAGGAGGUGUCGCAUCAAACAAGUAUGUUACGACUCGCUUGAAUCAUGUUGCUGGGAAUAAUGGCCUACAACUUGUAUCUCCUCCUCCAAGCCUUUGUACUGACAAUGGUGUCAUGAUUGCUUGGACUGGGAUUGAGCAUUUUGUUGCCGGGAGGUUUGAGGACCCACCUGCUGCUGAUGAGUCUGAUGAUAUGCAGUAUGAGCUGCGGCCAAGAUGGCCUCUUGGUGAGGAAUAUUCAAAAGGAAGAAGUGUUGCACGAUCAUUGAAGACUGCUCGAGUCCAUCCAUCACUAACGUCCAUGAUACAGGGCUCCCUUCAAAAGUAGUUGAGUUGGAAGUUGGAAACUAAUUAUUGGUCUCAGCUGCUUUAUGCAGUUGAGUUUCCCGUCUUCUAGUUUUGGGUUCACAAAUCAGCUGAUUUAUCUGUAUUCGCUGAAUUGAAGUAACAAACCUGCAAAAGGGCCGAACUAGUUUAAUAGUAGAUGAGGCUAUAUACAAAUUCAGUUCAUACCAGUGUUUUUAAGGCGUUGCCUAGGUGAUGUCUAGGCGUCUAGGCGCUCGAAUAAUUCUAGUCGCCUUGCUUGCCUACGCGUCCAGGCGGUGGUCUAACGUCUCGCCUUACCGUAUUAAGAACAUUGGUUCAUACAUACCAGAAGAUGCUUAUACUCC